AUUGAACGCUGGCGGCAUGCCUUACACAUGCAAGUCGAACGGUAACGGGCCUUCGGGUGCCGACGAGUGGCGAACGGGUGAGUAAUACAUCGGAACGUGCCCGAUCGUGGGGGAUAACGAGGCGAAAGCUUUGCUAAUACCGCAUACGAUCUACGGAUGAAAGCAGGGGACCGCAAGGCCUUGCGCGGGCGGAGCGGCCGAUGGCAGAUGAGGUAGUUGGUGGGGUAAAAGCUUACCAAGCCGACGAUCUGUAGCUGGUCUGAGAGGAUGAUCAGCCACACUGGGACUGAGACACGGACCAGACGCCUACGGGAGGCAGCGGUGGGGAAUUUUGGACAAUGGGCGCAAGCCUGAUCCAGCCAUGCCGCGUGCAGGAUGAAGGCCUUCGGGUUGUAAACUGCUUUUGUACGGAACGAAAAGCCUUCUUUUAAUACAGGAGGGUCAUGACGGUACCGUAAGAAUAAGCACCGGCUAACUACGUG
rnacentral:rRNA from 1 species